rnacentral:lncRNA from 1 species
CCGUGCUAUAGUAUCUUAUAGUCCACGUAGGCUAUUGGUUGGAUCCGCUCUGAUACCUAUUGCCGCAAUCCAGGAUCUCACCCAAAGUGACUAGCUCAAAGAUGUUAUCUGGGUUCCUUGACUCUGUACAAAUACUUGAGAUAUAUCCAAUGCAUGGUCGAUAUAGGACUAAACACAUGCCCGCACGGAUCCUCACAUACUUCUUCCGUUUAAGCUCUAACUUCUCCGCUAAGCUAAGAGUCCAAAUCCACUCAAAUC